rnacentral:rRNA from 1 species
AAUUUUCCGCAAUGGGCGAAAGCCUGACGGAGCAAUACCGCGUGAGGGACGACUGCCUAUGGGUUGUAAACCUCUUUUUUCAGGGAGGAAAAAAAUGACGUUACCUGAAGAAUAAGCAUCGGCUAACUCCGUGCCAGCAGCCGCGGUAAGACGGAGGAUGCAAGUGUUAUCCGGAAUCACUGGGCGUAAAGCGUCUGUAGGUGGUUUGAUAAGUCAACUGUUAAAUCUUGAGGCUCAACCUCAAAACCGCAGUCGAAACUAUUAGACUAGAGUAUAGUAGGGGUAAAGGGAAUUUCCAGUGGAGCGGUGAAAUGCGUAGAGAUUGGAAAGAACACCGAUGGCGAAGGCACUUUACUGGGCUAUUACUAACACUGAGAGACGAAAGCUAGGGUAGCAAAUGGGAUUAGAUACCCCAGUAGUCCUAGCUGUA